AACGUAGGGGACGAGCGUUAUCCGGAUUUACUGGGCGUAAAGCGCCCGUAGGCGGCCUGGAAAGUUGGCUGUGAAAGCUCCCGGCUUAACUGGGAGAGGUCAGUCAAAACUGUUAGGCUAGAGGCUGAGAUAGGCGAGCGGAAUUCCCGGUGUAGUGGUGGAAUGCGUAGAGAUCGGGAGGAACACCAGUGGCGAAAGCGGCUCGCUGGUUCAGCCCUGACGCUGAGGGGCGAAAGCGUGGGGAGCGAACGGG
rnacentral:rRNA from 1 species